rnacentral:rRNA from 1 species
GGGCUCAUGUCCUAUCAGCUAGUUGGUGAGGUAACGGCUCACCAAGGCGACGACGGGUAGCCGGCCUGAGAGGGUGAACGGCCACACUGGAACUGAGACACGGUCCAGACUCCUACGGGAGGCAGCAGUGGGGAAUAUUGGGCAAUGGGCGAGAGCCUGACCCAGCGACGCCGCGUGAGGGAUGACAGCCUUCGGGUUGUAAACCUCUGUUGUAUGGGAGAUGACGGUACCAUACGAGGAAGCUCCGGCUAACUACGUGCCAGCAGCCGCGGUAAUACGUAGGGAGCGAGUGUUGUCCGGAAUUACUGGGCGUAAAGGGCACGCAGGCGGUCAUAUAAGUCAGCUGUUAAAUGUAUGGGCUUAACCGAUGCAUGCGGUUAACUGUAUGACUGGAGUACUGGAGAGGUAAGCGGAAUUCCCGGUGUAGCGGUGAAAUGCGUAGAU